rnacentral:rRNA from 1 species
GAUGAACGCUGGCGGCGUGCCUAAUACAUGCAAGUCGAGCGACCACACGAUGAGCUUGCUCCUCUGACGUUAGCGGCUGACGGGUGAGUAACACGUGGAUAACCUACCUCUAAUACUUGGAUAACUCCGGGAAACCGGAGCUACUACCGGAUAAUAUAUUGAACCGCAUGGUUCAAUAGUGCAAGACGCUUUUGCUGUCUCUUAUAGAUGGAUCCGCGCCGCAUUAGCUACUUGGUAAGGUAACGGCUUACCAAGGCAACGAUGCGUAUCCGACCUGAGAGGGUGAUCGGCCACACUGGAACUGAGACACGGUCCAGACUCCUACGGGAGGCAGCAGUAGGGAAUAUUCCGCAAUGGGCGAAAGCUUGACGGAGCAACGCCGCGUGAGUGAUGAAGGUCUUCGGAUCGUAAAACUCUGUUAUUAGGGAAGAACAAAUGUGUAAGUAACUAUGCACGUCUUGACGGUACCUAAUCAGAAAGCCACGGCUAACUACGUG